rnacentral:lncRNA from 1 species
GGUGUGUUUGGUCGAUUAAAAACGCAGGGAACGAGCAGGAGCUUCACACAAACCCUAACUCUCACUAAAUCAAUCAAUUGAAGGCUCUAAUCUGGUCCAAAUCGAAAUCCGAGCACGUAUUAGUGAUCCCCACUGAAAAAGGAGUCACAAGUUUGACUCUAAACAAGCUAGGUGGGAGCUUGGAAAGGAACGGGUCAAACGAAUGAUGGAUGCGAAGGAUGUUUGCGCGGACGCGAGGUACAUUUUGGAUGCCGGAAGACGAUCAAGCUCGACGAAGGACCGAACACGAUAUAGAUACAUGCUUCCGCACUCUAACACAUUGCAAAUAACUA